UGUGGAUUGUAAUUUAUGAACAUGAUGGAUAGCAUAAUCAUGACUUUAUUGUGUGAUAUGGAAUGUUAUUAUGACUUUAUAUUGGUGUUUGAAUUUUGUUAUAAUUGGACAGAUUUAUGUAUUGAUUGUGAUGUUAUAUAGUUUUUAUUAUGUUUAUGUUGGUGUUUGAAUUCUUGUAUAAAUGUGUAUGCAUGUAUAUUUGUUUGCAUACCCAUAUUCUUUACGACAUGUUGAUUCUUUAUC
rnacentral:lncRNA from 1 species